rnacentral:rRNA from 1 species
AGUGAACGCUGGCGGUAGGCCUAACACAUGCAAGUCGAACGGCAGCACAGUAAGAGCUUGCUCUUACGGGUGGCGAGUGGCGGACGGGUGAGGAAUACAUCGGAAUCUACUUUUUCGUGGGGGAUAACGUAGGGAAACUUACGCUAAUACCGCAUACGACCUACGGGUGAAAGCAGGUGAUCUUCGGACCUUGCGCGAUUGAAUGAGCCGAUGUCGGAUUUGCUAGUUGGCGGGGUAAAGGCCCACCAAGGCGACGAUCCGUAGCUGGUCUGAGAGGAUGGUAAGCCGCACGAGAACGGAGACACGGACAAGGGGACUAAGAGAGGGAGCAGAGGGGAACAGGGGGCAAUGGGCGGAAGCAUGAUACAGUGAGAGCGCGUGGGUGAAGAAGGCCUUGGGUGAGUAAAGACGGUUUGUGGGGAAAGAAAAGCAGCAGGCAAAGAACAAGCGGUAGUGACGGUACCCAAAGAAGAAGCACCGGCUAACUACGUG